CUUCCGUAGGGUGAACCUGCGGAAGGAUCAUUAAAGAGUAAGGGUGCUCAGCGCCCGACCUCCAACCCUUUGUUGUUAAAACUACCUUGUUGCUUUGGCGGGACCGCUCGGUCUCGAGCCGCUGGGGAUUCGUCCCAGGCGAGCGCCCGCCAGAGUUAAACCAAACUCUUGUUAUUAAACCGGUCGUCUGAGUUAAAAUUUUGAAUAAAUCAAAACUUUCAACAACGGAUCUCUUGGUUCUCGCAUCGAUGAAGAACGCAGCGAAAUGCGAUAAGUAAUGUGAAUUGCAGAAUUCAGUGAAUCAUCGAAUCUUUGAACGCACAUUGCGCCCCUUGGUAUUCCGAGGGGCAUGCCUGUUCGAGCGUCAUUACACCACUCAAGCUAUGCUUGGUAUUGGGUGCCGUCCUUAGUUGGGCGCGCCUUAAAGACCUCGGCGAGGCCUCACCGGCUUUAGGCGUAGUAGAAUUUAUUCGAACGUCUGUCAAAGGAGAGGACUUCUGCCGACUGAAACCUUUUAUUUUUCUAGGUUGACCUCGGAUCAGGUAGGGAUACCCGCUGAACUUAAGCAUAUCAAUAAGCGGAGGA
rnacentral:rRNA from 1 species